rnacentral:rRNA from 1 species
GAUGAACGCUAGCUACAGGCUUAACACAUGCAAGUCGAGGGGUAGCACGGAAGAAGCUUGCUUCUUUGGGUGACGACCGGCGCACGGGUGUGUAACGCGUAUCCAACCUGCCCCUCUCUUUGGCAUAGCCUUUCGAAAGAGAGAUUAAUUCCGAAUAACAUAGUACCGUUUCCUGAUGAUACUAUGAAAGCUCCGGCGGAGAGGGCGGGGGAUGCGUUCCAUUAGGUAGUAGGCGGGGUAACGGCCCACCUAGCCGACGAUGGAUAGGGGUUCUGAGAGGAAGGUCCCCCACAUUGGAACUGAGACACGGUCCAAACUCCUACGGGAGGCAGCAGUGAGGAAUAUUGGUCAAUGGACGGAAGUCUGAACCAGCCAAGUAGCGUGAAGGAUGACUGCCCUAUGGGUUGUAAACUUCUUUUGUCGUGGAACAAAACCUGCCACGUGUGGCAGUUUGCGUGUACACGUUGAAUAAGCAUCGGCUAACUCCGUGCCAGCCGCCGCCGUAAUAC